AGCGAACGCUGGCGGCAUGCCUAACACAUGCAAGUCGAACGAGACCUUCGGGUCUAGUGGCGCACGGGUGCGUAACGCGUGGGAACCUGCCCUUAGGUUCGGAAUAACUCCCCGAAAGGGGUGCUAAUACCGGAUAAUGUCUUCGGACCAAAGAUUUAUCGCCUUUGGAUGGGCCCGCGUUGGAUUAGCUAGUUGGUAGGGUAAAAGCCUACCAAGGCGACGAUCCAUAGCUGGUCUGAGAGGAUGAUCAGCCACACUGGGACUGAGACACGGCCCAGACUCCUACGGGAGGCAGCAGUGGGGAAUAUUGGACAAUGGGCGAAAGCUUGAUCCAGCAAUGCCGCGUGAGUGAUGAAGGCCUUAGGGUUGUAAAGCUCUUUUACCCGGGAUGAUAAUGACAGUACCGGGAGAAUAAGCUCCGGCUAACUCCGUG
rnacentral:rRNA from 1 species